rnacentral:rRNA from 1 species
GACGAACGCUGGCGGCGUGCCUAAUACAUGCAAGUCGAACGCAGUGGGGACGGGUGAGUAACACGUGGGUAACCUCGCAUCAGAGGGGAUAACACUUGGCAACAGGUGCUAAACCGAUCCUGAUGGAUGAAACCGCGGUGAAUUAGCUAGUUGGUGAGGUAACGGCUCACCAAGUCAACGAUGCAUAGCUGUGCUGAGAGGAUGAUCAGCCACACGGGGACGGAGACACGGCCCAGACUCCUACGGGAGGCAGCAGGGGGGAAUAUUUGGCAAUGGACGAAAGUCUGAUGGAGCAACGCCGCGUGAAUGAAGAAGGUUUUCGGAUCGUAAAGCUCUGUCGGUAGAGAAGCGUUAUCUACAGAGAAAGCAACGGCUAACUACGUGCCAGCAGCCGCGGUAAUAC